UACGAAGGGUGCAGGCGUUACUCGGAAUUACUGGGCGUAAAGCGUGCGUAGGUGGUGAGUUAAGUCUGUCGUGAAAGCCCUGGGCUCAACCUGGGAACUGCAGUGGAUACUGAGAAGCUAGAGUGUGUCAGAGGAUGGUGGAAUUCCCGGUGUAGCGGUGAAAUGCGUAGAGAUCGGGAGGAACAUCAGUGGCGAAGGCGGCCAUCUGGGACAACACUGACGCUGAGGCACGAAAGCGUGGGGAGCAAACAGG
rnacentral:rRNA from 1 species